rnacentral:rRNA from 1 species
UACGUAGGUGGCAAGCGUUGUCCGGAUUUACUGGGCGUAAAGAGCGCGCAGGCGGUCGUUCAAGUCGCGUGUGAAAGCCCCGGGCUCAACUGGGGAGGGUCACGCGAUACUGAUCGACUGGAAGGCAGGAGAGGGUAGUGGAAUUCCCGGUGUAGUGGUGAAAUGCGUAGAUAUCGGGAGGAACACCAGUGGCGAAGGCGACUACCUGGCCUGUUCUUGACGCUGAGGCGCGAAAGCUAGGGGAGCAAACGGG